AUUCUGGGUGCCACAGAGAAUGGCAUGUAUGCUUCCAGACUUCUCCAUGGAAGAUUUUUUUUUCAGAGAUCUGAGAAAGUCUUGGUCUGACAGCAGAAGGAAUCUCAAAUGCCUCGCCGUAGCCACGUAACAACUGGACAUCCCUGGACAUGGUUCCGGAAGAAGGGUAAAUCUUUCUAAAUGGGUAAGAUUUGAAGAGAGUCUUUAAAAAAAAGCUGGAGAGUUUUGACUAUCGAGAAGAUUUUUGCAGCAGAGGAAAAAUAUCUGCCAAGACCUUGAACAUAGACUCUGUUUUUCAUGAUCAAAAUACAGGAAACAAACUUUUUUGAUACCAUGAUAAAAGUUAUGAGAGAACCCCGAGACAACAAAUAAAAAAGAUCCUAGUCAACAGGAUAUAUCUCACUGAAGAACUAAGGUGAUAAAAUUCUUGGUUUAAUAGAAUUGUAAAUAAAACAUUACUAGCUCCUGUAGAACAUUGUCCUCGGAUUCAUCCUAUGGAACUGAGGUGGGCUUAUGCACCUUCGGAAAUCUCACUGACAACGAGAUAUUAUCAAAUGUCAGCAGACCUGCCUGCUCACUGGAAGUUUUCCUUUUUUAGAAUUUGUCAAAAUUAGUUUGCUCUGGUGAGUUGUGCAGUAGCAAGCAGAGCAAUUGGAGUGGCGUACACACAACUGUGGGGGUAAGAAGGGCAACAACCCAGGCCCUCGUGCCAAAGAGAGGCGAGUCGCCACUCAUUCGCGGAUUUCCUCGUAGUCAGACCCGUCCAGUGGCUGACUGUAUCAUUGUGAGGCAAUGGACACAGCAGAGAAGUAGGAUCAAAGAAAAAGAGAAAGAAAAAACCAGAAGUCUUCUUGCUUCCAUAGUGACAGCUGUCUGUGCUCAUUGACUAACGAAGAGCCGACACUCAGAGAGCCAUGGCCCCUUAAGUGCACUUUGACCAUCUGCUAAUGUAUUCUGCCACAAUCUUAUCAGCCUCAUUUGACAGAGGAGGAAAUGAAGGCCUAAAGAGAUUGAUUAAUUUGACGAAGUCGUAUUUCAAGCAAGUGGCAGCGCCUAGAAUUGAAGCCAUGCAGUCUGGCUCUGGAGUCUCUGUGCCUAACCGCCUGAUUUCACUGCCUGAAAUGUCCAUGCAUUGGAUGGCUGGAUGGCUACCUCUGAAGAAUCAAAAUAAAAUAAUGCAAAACAACAAGAAUCAGCCAAAGGAAAAGAAAGUAUUGCUCCUUUCUAGGUUAUGAACAGGUCAGUUCUAGCACUUCUCUUAUGCCACUGUGUUUUUAGUAAAUAGUCACACAUACUUCACUCUUCCCAUUUAUAUUUAAACUUCAUUUAAGUUUCUACCACAUGUGUGAAUUUUGUCAAAAUGGUUUAUAACCUUGUGAGUUGCAAUAUUAAUUUCUUAAGUUACUUAUACACAGUUCUCAUCACCACCUAUAGGAACAAUGACUUAGUAAAUUUAAGUCCUUUCUUCCUUUAAAACCAUGUUUUAGGUUCAUCAGCUUUAGCAAUAGGUCAUAAACUUUAUCCCAUUUCCAAUCCCUUAAGCAGAUGCUGCCUGAUCACACAGUCUGAAACGCUGGUUUCAUGUCAUUGUUCUACCUAAAAUUUUUCAUACUCUCUUCCACACCAAGUUUCAGCUUUGCCUGAUUGACCGAGCAUCUGUAAUGUCACCACAAACUUAGCACUUCUUGCUGAUGUUUUCUCAUCUUCAUUUAUCUUGUUGUCAGGCUGAUAUCCUCAUUGUCAUACAAACACAUCAAUGUCACAGGCACUGCCAUGUCACAACCCUGUUUGUUUUCUCUUCCAUUCAUAUCAAAUACUAUCCAUUUUUCAAGUUCUAGAUAUCUGUUUUCUUCUCUGACAUCAGGAAUCACAGAUGUCUCUCUGAAACUUGUAACAUUUAGUGUUGGUAUUAUGCAAUCUAACUCCCAACUUUAACCUUUUUCUAUCAUUUAUUAGUUUUUUCUCUUUCAAAUACUCAUCCGCUCCACUUGUUGAAGUUAGAGAUCAUCCUUUAGUGUUCUUACAUCCCCUACUGUGCUUGGUCUAGGACUGCCGAACAUGCAGAAGGUAUUCAGUUAUUUGUACGGCGACUUAUUUCAUUCACUCUUUUGGCAACCUCAUUUCCACCAUUGACCUCUCCCCGAAACUCCACACUUGGUUAUCUAACUACAGAUAACUUCGGAUGUUGCUGUGAGAAUUUAAUGAGUAAAGUGUAUGAGAGUACGUUGGUAUGAGUCUUGGUAUUUAGCAGGUGCUUAACAAAUGAUGUUUGGAUGGGAAUCUUCACAUAUUCCCCUUUUACAACUGAAUACUAUCUGUGGCUUUAAGAAUAGAAAAUGGGUUCCAAAUCUCCUUUCCCAACCCGCCCACUCCCCGUGGUUUUUCAGGCCAGUAACCUCUGAAAAAUCUUACUUUCCUCUCCUUUGGUAUUUGUGAUAAUAAAUACCAUGAUUCUACCUCUGUGAUAUCUCUAAAAUCAUCUUAAUUCCCUUAAUCACAUCUACCAAGAUCAAUCUUCACUUCUCCUUGGACACAUUCUAACUGGUCUUUCCAAUUCUAUUCCCUCCAAACCUUCUUGCACAAAUGUUUACAAUUCUGUUUCUCUUUCUAGGUUCCCUGAGUGUCAACCAAAGUGAACCCCUUGCAGUUCCCCAUCUAUGCCUAAAAAAGCAGGGAGCUUUGGGCUUUAGAAUUAGUUAGGCUGGGUUUGAAUCCCCUGUCUGCACUGUGUUUGACUUGGACAAAACCCUUAAAUUCUCUCUACCUCAAUUCUCUGUUCUGCAAAACAAGUAUGAUGAUAUAGUCCUCCCAAGGUUUUAUAAAGAUUAAAUAAGAUUAUUUUAAGAAACUAGCGGAGAAUAAAUACUCAACAGCUGGUAGUCAGUCACAAAAGAACAUUUCAAGAUAGUGUGAUUCUGUGCCGGAAGUGUUAUCCCUUCAGUCUUUAUAUCUUUAUCUUUAAAUUCAUAUAGACAGAGUCUACCAAUGUCUCAAGACCCAUUUCAACUUUUUUUCUUCUGUAAGAUCUUCUCCGAUUUUUCACACUAGAAGCAUUAUCUUUUUUGCAGUAAAUUUCCGUAAUAAAAGAGAAAGCAAAAACAUAUGGGGAGAGGACAUGUGCAUAUACUUUCUUUUUUCAUCAUCUUAAAAGCCUUAAGAAAUACAUUUUAAUAAAAAACUGAGAUUCAAAAAAAAUUUUUAAACACAAGGAAAGUAUUUAAAUCCUGGCUUGCGUGACCUUCACAUUUAUGUUCUCACCAUUGAUUCUCAGUGUGCUAUCAGGGUCUAUUGAAGCUAAUCAUAGUUUUUGAGUUUUGGUUUGGUUUAGUUUUGAACAAUUGUAACUACUUGUGGAGACUGAUCUCUCUUGUCUUAUUUUUUCUUAUAGGUCUUCCAAGGAACAGAGGAAAAAAUUACUUAUUUUUUAAACAGAAUAAAAUUAUAAAUAAAAUUUAUUUUUAUAAAUAAAAUUAUAAAAUUAU